rnacentral:rRNA from 1 species
UACGGGGGAGCAAGCGUUGUUCGGAUUUACUGGGCGUAAAGGGCGCGUAGGCGGUCGUGACAAGUCACUUGUGAAAUCUCCGGGCUUAACUCGGAACGGUCAAGUGAUACUGUCGGACUAGAGUACAGAAGGGGCAACUGGAAUUCUCGGUGUAGCGGUGAAAUGCGUAGAUAUCGAGAGGAACACCUGCGGCGAAGGCGGGUUGCUGGGCUGAUACUGGCGCUGAGGCGCGAAAGCCAGGGGAGCGAACGGG